rnacentral:rRNA from 1 species
GACGGGGGGGGCAAGCGUUGUUCGGAAUUACUGGGCGGAAAGGGCUCGUAGGCGGCCAACUAAGUCAUACGUGAAAUCCCUCGGCUUAACCGGGGAACUGCGUCUGAUACUGGAUGGCUUGAGAUUGGGAGAGGGAUGCGGAAUUCCAGGUGUAGCGGUGAAAUGCGUAGAUAUCUGGAGGAACACCGGUGGCGAAGGCGGCAUCCUGGACCAACACUGACGCCGAGGAGCGAAAGCCAGGGGAGCAAACGGG